AGGCGAAAAGAACCCCGGGAGGGGAGUGAAAUAGAUCCUGAAACCGUGUGCAUACAAACAGUAGGAGCCUCGUAAGGGGUGACUGCGUACCUUUUGUAUAAUGGGUCAGCGACUUACAUUCAGUGGCAAGGUUAACCGAAUAGGGGAGCCGUAGAGAAAUCGAGUCCGAACAGGGCGCCAGUCGCUGGGUGUAGACCCGAAACCAAGUGAUCUAUCCAUGGCCAGGUUGAAGGUGCGGUAACACGCACUGGAGGA
rnacentral:rRNA from 1 species